AUACGGAAGGGAAUAGAGGCCGGGCGCGGUGACUCACGCCUGUAAUCCCAACACUUUGGGAGGCCCAGGCGGGCGGAUCACCUGAGGUCAGGAGUUCGAGACCAGCCUGGCAAACAUGGCGAAACCCCGUCUCUACUAAAAAUACAAAUUAGUCGGGCGUGUUGGCGCGCGCCUGUAGUCCCAGCUAGGAGGCUGAGGCAGGAGAAUCGCUUGAACCCGGGAGGCAGAGGUUGCAGAGAGCCGAGAUAGCGCCACUGCACUCCGGCCUGGGCGACAGAGCGAGACUCCGUCUCAAAAGAAAAGAAAAGGAACACAACACAGAAUCAAACGCAUGAUGAGCUUUGUUUUUUCACUCCUCAGGCGCGGAGGAAAUGGUGGAAGGCCCAGCUCUGGGUGAUCCUGGGCGCUGCCCCCGUUACCCGUUACCAGGAAGAAG
rnacentral:lncRNA from 10 species